GCAACUGUAAUUUAAUGGUAAAAUGAUCGUCUUCCAAACGAAUCUUAUCGGUUCGAUUCCGAUUAGUUGUA
rnacentral:tRNA from 5 species